rnacentral:lncRNA from 1 species
CCCCAAUUGUCUCCAAUAAUCCUUGUGAGCUCCAGACACUUCCGCAGUUAACACCAGCCAGAACUUGAGCAGCGUUGCCAAAUCUUAAGCUCCUUCUGCUGCCACACGGGCCACACGAAGGGACGUUGAGCACACCAGUUUGAGUUUGUGGGAGAAUCCAUUUCAUAAGCUGAUCUUGGGAUGAAGGAAACACUCUCCAUUUCAG